rfam:Desertifilum sp. IPPAS B-1220 NODE_69_length_20786_cov_32.3562, whole genome shotgun sequence.
AUUAGACUGCGGCGUUGGUGACUGCCAAUACUGUUUUAUGAUCUAUGCUUUGUGUUAUUCGGGAACCUCAAGGAUUGUAACGGCAGUAGACCGAGCGCGUACUCGGAAACUUUAAGUUACGGCAAAUGGUACCCACCUGGUUUUAACCAGGUCAAAAACUGAGGCAAGACGGCGUUGCGGUCAAUCC